rnacentral:rRNA from 1 species
AAAUUGAAGAGUUUGAUCAUGGCUCAGAUUGAACGCUGGCGGCAGGCCUAACACAUGCAAGUCGAGCGGUAGCACAGAGAGCUUGCUCUCGGGUGACGAGCGGCGGACGGGUGAGUAAUGUCUGGGAAACUGCCUGAUGGAGGGGGAUAACUACUGGAAACGGUAGCUAAUACCGCAUAAUGUCGCAAGACCAAAGUGGGGGACCUUCGGGCCUCAUGCCAUCAGAUGUGCCCAGAUGGGAUUAGCUAGUAGGUGAGGUAACGGCUCACCUAGGCGACGAUCCCUAGCUGGUCUGAGAGGAUGACCAGCCACACUGGAACUGAGACACGGUCCAGACUCCUACGGGAGGCAGCAGUGGGGAAUAUUGCACAAUGGGCGCAAGCCUGAUGCAGCCAUGCCGCGUGUGUGAAGAAGGCCUUCGGGUUGUAAAGCACUUUCAGCGGGGAGGAAGGCGAUAAGGUUAAUAACCUUGUCGAUUGACGUUACCCGCAGAAGAAGCACCGGCUAACUCCGUGCCAGCAGCCGCGGUAAUACGGAGGGUGCAAGCGUUAAUCGGAAUUACUGGGCGUAAAGCGCACGCAGGCGGUCUGUCAAGUCGGAUGUGAAAUCCCCGGGCUCAACCUGGGAACUGCAUUCGAAACUGGCAGGCUAGAGUCUUGUAGAGGGGGGUAGAAUUCCAGGUGUAGCGGUGAAAUGCGUAGAGAUCUGGAGGAAUACCGGUGGCGAAGGCGGCCCCCUGGACAAAGACUGACGCUCAGGUGCGAAAGCGUGGGGAGCAAACAGGAUUAGAUACCCUGGUAGUCCACGCCGUAAACGAUGUCGAUUUGGAGGUUGUGCCCUUGAGGCGUGGCUUCCGGAGCUAACGCGUUAAAUCGACCGCCUGGGGAGUACGGCCGCAAGGUUAAAACUCAAAUGAAUUGACGGGGGCCCGCACAAGCGGUGGAGCAUGUGGUUUAAUUCGAUGCAACGCGAAGAACCUUACCUGGUCUUGACAUCCACAGAACUUAGCAGAGAUGCUUUGGUGCCUUCGGGAACUGUGAGACAGGUGCUGCAUGGCUGUCGUCAGCUCGUGUUGUGAAAUGUUGGGUUAAGUCCCGCAACGAGCGCAACCCUUAUCCUUUGUUGCCAGCGGUUCGGCCGGGAACUCAAAGGAGACUGCCAGUGAUAAACUGGAGGAAGGUGGGGAUGACGUCAAGUCAUCAUGGCCCUUACGACCAGGGCUACACACGUGCUACAAUGGCAUAUACAAAGAGAAGCGACCUCGCGAGAGCAAGCGGACCUCAUAAAGUAUGUCGUAGUCCGGAUUGGAGUCUGCAACUCGACUCCAUGAAGUCGGAAUCGCUAGUAAUCGUAGAUCAGAAUGCUACGGUGAAUACGUUCCCGGGCCUUGUACACACCGCCCGUCACACCAUGGGAGUGGGUUGCAAAAGAAGUAGGUAGCUUAACCUUCGGGAGGGCGCUUACCACUUUGUGAUUCAUGACUGGGGUGAAGUCGUAACAAGGUAACCGUAGGGGAACCUGCGGUUGGAUCACCUCCUUACCUUAAAGAA